rnacentral:rRNA from 1 species
AUUGAACGCUGGCGGCAUGCCUUACACAUGCAAGUCGAACGGUAACGGGCCUUCGGGUGCCGACGAGUGGCGAACGGGUGAGUAAUACAUCGGAACGUGCCCGAUCGUGGGGGAUAACGAGGCUAAAGCUUUGCUAAUACCGCAUACGAUCUACGGAUGAAAGCCGGGGACGGCAAGGCCUUGCGCGGACGGAGCGGCCGAUGGGAGCGUAGGUAGUUGGUGGGAUAAAAGCUUACCAAGCCGACGAUCUGUAGCUGGUCUGAGAGGAUGAUCAGCCACACUGGAACUGAGACACGGCCCAGACUCCUACGGGAGGCAGCAGUGGGGAAUUUUGGACAAUGGGCGCAAGCCUGAUCCAGCCAUGCCGCGUGCAGGAUGAAGGCCUUCGGGUUGUAAACUGCUUUUGUACGGAACGAAAAGCCUUCUUUUAAUACAGGGGGGUCAUGACGGUACCGUAAGAAUAAGCACCGGCUAACUACGUG